AUUGAACGCUGGCGGCGUGCCUAAUACAUGCAAGUCGAACGCAGUGGGGACGGGUGAGUAACACGUGGGUAACCUCCCAUCAGAGGGGAUAACACUUGGAAACAGGUGCUAAACCGAUACUGAUGGAUGAACCCGCGGUGCAUUAGCUAGUUGGUGAGGUAACGACUCACCAAGGCCACGAUGCCUAGCCAACCUGAGGGGGUGAUCGGCAACACGGGGACUGGGACACGGCCCAGACUCCUACGGGAGGCAGCGGUAGGGAAUCUUCGGCAAUGGACGAAAGUCGAACCGAGCAACGCCGCGUGAGUGAGGAAGGUUUUCGAAUCGUAAAACUCUGUUGUUAGAGAAGCGGUAUCUAACCAGAAAGCCACGGCUAACUACGUGCCAGCAGCCGCGGUAAUAC
rnacentral:rRNA from 1 species